CUGACUUGUACAUUACUCGAUCAAAAAACUCACCCACAAUUAUACGAAAAUCAAUUGCUUGCCAGCAUCUCAGCCUCCAUCUUGAUUGCUUGCAUCUCAGCCUCCAUCUCGAUUUCUCCAUAUCAAUUUCUCCAUCUCGAUAGAUUGGGUUCUGCUGUAAAUAUGCAUCUCGAUAGGUUCGAGAGCUUCAAUUUGUUGGUUUGAGAGCUUCAAUUUGUUGGGUUUAAUUCCUGGUGUUUCUGCUGAAUCACAAGAAGACGGGUGUUCUUAAUUGCCAAAUUGCUGGAUACUAAGGAGACUUGCUUAGAAUUGAGAAGCACCUACGAGAAGCAGGCUUAUAAAACCUGGCUUAUAUUCAGAAGCUAGAGAACAACAGGAUGAAGCUUACUCAAUUGGAGCAGCAGAUACAAAAAAUAGGGUUCAGUUCUUGGUGUUGAGGUCAGUACUAGUAGAAGAUUACUACGGGAGAAAUGUACGAUACCGAGAACAUGCACAUUUCAAAGGAUUGUUGCUUACUGAAACGUCAAAUAUAAACACUAAAAGUUCCGGAGGUUAUUUUUGAUCCAGAGAGUUUAAUAUUAAAGUAAGAUGGUCCCUCUGUAUUCCAUUUAGUUUUCCGACUUAUGUUAUACCUGUAGAGAGUAACAUCACAAGAAGCGAAAAUAUAUAUAAGACAGCCCAAACUACGCCUUUUUUAAUUGCACUCCCUCUCCUAACAAUCUGGUUCCAUGACUUCCAUCUAUUCUGCAAGGGACGCUUCGAAUCAGCAUUUUUAAGACUCCCAUUACAAGUUAGUGAAGAAGUGGAAUGUGCACUGGUAAAGCUUGGUCCAGCCAGACUUUCAGGGAGGGCUUUGCCAAAACAAAUAACAGGGCCUGGUGAAAGUAAUUCACAACUGCGGUUCAGGUCCAAGUUGGCUCUUCCUCUCUGAUCCACAAGUGAGGUUUUUGUUUCAGACAAUGAAGUGCAAUUUCCUUCGUAGAUGUGGCCAGGGGACAGGAAAAGCAUGACGUGGCUCGAUCAUUUUUCUGCAAUCCUACAAGUGGUAAUAAGGAUUAUCUAUUUCAGAAUAGGAGAAGCUAGUGCCCUGCAUUGAACUCUUUAAGGUGGAUAGAUGAUUAGCGGAGCCAACCAUAGUUUUUCUCUUUCAUUCUAAUGCUUCUUUUUUGUAAAAAGAAAUAAUGCCAUCAUUAUCAACAUUAUGUAUGUAUACAAUACAAGGACAACCUUCUUAGUUAAAUGACUCAUUUAUACAUUGAAUUUACAUAGUAUAAGAUCAAAGUUUU